rnacentral:rRNA from 1 species
GAUGAACGCUGGCGGCGUGCCUAAUACAUGCAAGUCGAGCGAACAGACGAGGAGCUUGCUCCUCUGACGUUAGCGGCGGACGGGUGAGUAACACGUGGAUAACCUACAUAUAAGACUGGGAUAACUUCGGGAAACCGGAGCUAAUACCGGAUAACAUGCUGAACCGCAUGGUUCAACAGUGAAAGACGGUCUUGCUGUCACUUAUAGAUGGAUCCGCGCCGCAUUAGCUAGUUGGUAAGGUAACGGCUUACCAAGGCAACGAUGCGUAGCCGACCUGAGAGGGUGGUCGGCCACACUGGAACUGAGACACGGUCCAGACUCCUACGGGAGGCAGCAGUAGGGAAUCUUCCGCAAUGGGCGAAAGCCUGACGGAGCAACGCCGCGUGAGUGAAGAAGGUCUUCGGAUCGUAAAACUCUGUUAUUAGGGAAGAACAAAUGUGUAAGUAACUAUGCACGUCUUGACGGUACCUAAUCAGAAAGCCACGGCUAACUACGUG